GUGCUUGUUUCAGCAUCACAUAUACCCAAACUAGAAUGAUACAGAGAAGAUUAGCAUGGCCUCUAUAGGAUGACAUGCAAAUUCAUGAAAUAUUCAUGUUUUUA
rnacentral:snRNA from 1 species